GGGCAUCCGUCCGGGGACAUUCAGGCAGUGACCAAUCCCAGGCCGCCCCGCAGUGUGCCCUGAACUGUGGGCCUUUUCCCAGCCGGCCACUGUGGGGGAGCAGCCACUGUGGGUCCCCAGGUCUUAGAGAGAUGAUCAAGGAUGGGGCAGGGAUGGAGAUCAGCAUGAAGCCAUAUCAUGGCUAGAAGAACAUGAAGGCCACGCAGAAGGACAUCCCUCAGAACUAGACCUUCUCUCUCACCUUCCAGCACCAAAGCCAAAGACCACUACAGCUCAGCUCGGCCACCAUCACAUCUUGGCUGACCAGCUCAGGACAGGGUUCCAAGGGAGCUAACGCAGACCCUCAUGUUCCACAGCAAGUACUUUAUACCCACUGAGCCACCGUCAGAAGAGCAAGGGUAAGGACCUGUGUGUCCAUCAGCUGCUGCCUCUUCAACCUUGCACAGAAAUCCUGCUAUCUCCUGAGGCUUGAGCUCAGAGUGAUGCCUGAGGAGGCCCACAACGGGAGCAGCCUCUGGGACGUCCGUGCAGGACAAAGCACAACUCGGGAAAGCUGUUUAAAGCCAGAAACAAUGGGACUGGGGAGACAACGUUCAGCAGGUAAAGCCACCUGCCACCAAACCUGAUGAGCUCAGUGUGAUCCCCUGGAAGCAGAGAAUGGACUCCUGAAACUUGUCCUCUGAUCUCCACACCCCUUCACACAUAAUAAAUGAGUAAAUAGAAUUUUA